GUCUACGGCCAAACCACCCUGAACGUGCCCGAUCCUGUCUUAUCUUAGAAGCUAAGCAAGGUCGAGCCUGGUUAGUUCUUGGAUAGGAGACCACCUAGGAAUACCAGGUGCUGUAGGCA
rnacentral:rRNA from 1 species